GGAGGGGUGGCAGAGUGGUCUAUUGCACCGGUCUUGAAAACCGGAGUCUGUAACAGGACCGUGGGUUCGAAUCCCACCCCCUCCGCCA
rnacentral:tRNA from 1 species